GUGGGGUAUGCUGUCUGGGGGAGAACAAAGACAAAAGCGCAACCUGCUCCAGAGUACUGUGUGGAUUUUGCAAAUUUUCAAUUCAAUUGUAAAUGAAUGUUUCUGGGAGAACUCUAUGUUCAGGAGAAUCAAAUGGUACAGUCCUCUUGGGAUUUAGAAUACAGGUUGCAGACACUAUAUUUCCAUAGUCUGAUGACUUCAUGCUGGAGCUGUUUCAUCAGACAAGCCUGAGCUUGAACUAAAGGAUUUUGCAUCAAACAGAUUCUGGAGAUUGAAAAAAGAAACUUGGUUCAGCUGUUCAGAACUCUAAAGAGCGAGAGGAUUUGGCUGCCAAUUCCUGUGAUUACUGGAUUUUUGAAGAAUGAAGACUGCUAAGCUCUGGUUCGUGACAGGUAAGCUCUGAUUUAUGAUAUGUUCACAGGUAUACACCAAAUAUGAAAGAGCAAAGUAGAAGAAAACAUUAAUCAUUGCAGCAAAUUAGGUUCUAGCAGUGCCUGCCAAGUUCUGAUCCAUUCAGCUGACAUGCUGCAAAAGGUUGAGUGUCAAAACACUCUCUAUGUUGUUAAAAUGGAUUAACUUUGGGCAGCUGUAUUGUCAUCAGUUGUACACUUCUUUUAAUUAGCAGAUCUACAGCAGUGUUGAAAUGAUGUGCCCAUUUUCUCUUCACUGUUGCCAGACGCUUUUGAGUUGAAAGCAAUGCCAGCUUUCUGCAUGUGCCUGGCCUACAGCACAAAGUUUGGGGUCUCCCAAGCUUUUCUGUUUCUUUCCUUCCUUCCUUCCUUCCUUCCUUCCUUCCUUCCUUUCACAAAACUGUUUCUAGUCCUCAUUUGAGUGGAUAAAUGGGUGUUUGGCAAUGUAUCCUUGGAGAUUUAUGUCAUGGUUCCAAACACUGGUGCCUAUGUACCAGACUGCAGAAUCAUACAUGGGUCUGCCUCACAUUACAGUAACCCUCUGAAGAAGGUUGAGAAAUAUUAAGUUCCCCAUUGACAAUCUCAGCGCUACAUCACAAGCUGUACUGAUAAAUUAGUGAGUCUAUCACAAGUACAGCCACAGCCUUUAACAAUUUGUUCCAGUUUGUGCUCCUCACAAGAAUAAUAUCCAGAAAUAAAUCAUUUGAAGGGGUAUAUCAUCUGAACUAGUUAUUUCGGCCAGCCUUUCCCAGAACUGCAGCCAUUUCAAAAGCAUACUGCUGUGCAAAUGGCUACUUAGAGCUAAACUAGAUCUGAUAUUAAAUGCAUCCUUGCAUUUAACCUACUGUUUGUUUUAAAAAUAUUAUUUAUUAAAUUUAUUAGUUGCUUUAUCUUGUCCAAGGCAACCCAGAGUGUCUUACAAACCAACCAACCAACCAACCAACCAAGAUCCACACAGAUACAUUAAAACCAAGUGAGGGAAAAUGCACUGAAUGCAGCCCAUCCACUUCUAAAAGGCCACAGAUAGUUAAAGGCCAAAGGCCUGGUUGUAGAGGAAAGUUUCUGCCUGGCACCUCGAUAUAUAAUAAUGGUGCCAAGUGAGCCUCCCCUGGGGAGAGUGUUCCACAAACAGGGAGCCAUUGCAGAAAAAGCCCAUUCUCAUGUUGCCCCCCUC